rnacentral:rRNA from 1 species
UACGGAGGGGGCUAGCGUUGUUCGGAAUUACUGGGCGUAAAGCGCGCGUAGGCGGACUGGAAAGUAGGGGGUGAAAUCCCAGGGCUCAACCCUGGAAUUGCCUUCUAAACUCCUGGUCUUGAGUUCGAGAGAGGUGAGUGGAAUUCCGAGUGUAGAGGUGAAAUUCGUAGAUAUUCGGAGGAACACCAGUGGCGAAGGCGGCUCACUGGCUCGAUACUGACGCUGAGGUGCGAAAGCGUGGGGAGCAAACAGG